UACGGAGGGUGCAAGCGUUGUCCGGAUUUACUGGGCGUAAAGAGCGCGCAGGCGGUCGUUCAAGUCGAGUGUGAAAGCCCCCGGCUCAACCGGGGAGGGUGGCUGGAAACUGUCGUUCUUGAGGGCGAGAGAGGAGGGUGGAAUUCCUGGUGUAGCGGUGAAAUGCGUAGAUAUCAGGAGGAACACCAAUGGCGAAGGCAGCACUCUGGGACGUGACUGACGCUGAGACGCGAAAGCGUGGGGAGCAAACAGG
rnacentral:rRNA from 1 species